AGAGUUUGAUCUUGGCUCAGGACGAACGCUGGCGGCAUGCCUCAUACAUGCAAGUCGAACGAGCUUCCGUUGAAUGACGUGCUUGCACUGAUUUCGACAAUGAAGCGAGUGGCGAACUGGUGAGUAACACGUGGGGAAUCUGCCCAGAAGCAGGGGAUAACACUUGGAAACAGGUGCUAAUACCGUAUAACAACAAAAUCCGCAUGGAUUUUGUUUGAAAGGUGGCUUCGGCUAUCACUUCUGGAUGAUCCCGCGGCGUAUUAGUUAGUUGGUGAGGUAAAGGCCCACCAAGACGAUGAUACGUAGCCGACCUGAGAGGGUAAUCGGCCACAUUGGGACUGAGACACGGCCCAAACUCCUACGGGAGGCAGCAGUAGGGAAUCUUCCACAAUGGACGAAAGUCUGAUGGAGCAAUGCCGCGUGAGUGAAGAAGGGUUUCGGCUCGUAAAACUCUGUUGUUAAAGAAGAACACCUUUGAGAGUAACUGUUCAAGGGUUGACGGUAUUUAACCAGAAAGCCACGGCUAACUACGUGCCAGCAGCCGCGGUAAUACGUAGGUGGCAAGCGUUGUCCGGAUUUAUUGGGCGUAAAGCGAGCGCAGGCGGUUUUUUAAGUCUGAUGUGAAAGCCUUCGGCUUAACCGGAGAAGUGCAUCGGAAACUGGGAGACUUGAGUGCAGAAGAGGACAGUGGAACUCCAUGUGUAGCGGUGGAAUGCGUAGAUAUAUGGAAGAACACCAGUGGCGAAGGCGGCUGUCUAGUCUGUAACUGACGCUGAGGCUCGAAAGCAUGGGUAGCGAACAGGAUUAGAUACCCUGGUAGUCCAUGCCGUAAACGAUGAGUGCUAAGUGUUGGAGGGUUUCCGCCCUUCAGUGCUGCAGCUCACGCAUUAAGCACUCCGCCUGGGGAGUAC
rnacentral:rRNA from 1 species